rnacentral:rRNA from 1 species
GACGAACGCUGGCGGCGUGCUUAACACAUGCAAGUCGAACGGAAAGGCCCUGCUUUUGUGGGGUGCUCGAGUGGCGAACGGGUGAGUAACACGUGAGUAACCUGCCCUUGACUUUGGGAUAACUUCAGGAAACUGGGGCUAAUACCGGAUAGGAGCUCCUGCUGCAUGGUGGGGGUUGGAAAGUUUCGGCGGUUGGGGAUGGACUCGCGGCUUAUCAGCUUGUUGGUGGGGUAGUGGCUUACCAAGGCUUUGACGGGUAGCCGGCCUGAGAGGGUGACCGGCCACAUUGGGACUGAGAUACGGCCCAGACUCCUACGGGAGGCAGCAGUGGGGAAUACUGCACAAUGGGCGGAAGCCUGAUGCAGCAACGCCGCGUGCGGGAUGACGGCUUUCGGGUUGUAAACCGCUUUCGCCUGUGACGAAGCGUGAGUGACGGUAAUGGGUAAAGAAGCACCGGCUAACUACGUG